rnacentral:rRNA from 1 species
GUGAGGAAUAUUGGUCAAUGGACGAGAGUCUGAACCAGCCAAGUCGCGUGAAGGAAGACGGUUCUAUGAAUUGUAAACUUCUUUUGUGCAGGAAUAAAGUGGGUUACGUGUAACCUUUUGUAUGUACUGUACGAAUAAGGAUCGGCUAACUCCGUGCCAGCAGCCGCGGUAAUACGGAGGAUCCGAGCGUUAUCCGGAUUUAUUGGGUUUAAAGGGUGCGUAGGUGGAUUGAUAAGUCAGCGGUGAAAGUUUGCAGCUUAACUGUAAAAUUGCCGUUGAAACUGUCGGUCUUGAGUGCAAAUGAGGUAGGCGGAAUGUGUUGUGUAGCGGUGAAAUGCUUAGAUAUUACACAGAACACCAAUUGCGUAGGCAGCUUACUGAGCCGACACUGACGCUGAGGCACGAAAGCGUGGGGAUCGAACAGGAUUAGAAACCCCAGUAGUCC